AUGUGCUUAGCAGCAGCCGUACACACACACACACACACACACACACACACACACGUAUCCAGAGGUGUUCUGAAGACUAAGUUACACACUGCGAAUGUAAAUACUAGCUUUAACAAAGCAAUAAAUAUUGAAGUCCGUGUAUUGGUAGUAUUCACGCAUAUUUUAUUUACACCGGCCUCUGGCAUCAGGAUAACAGAUAUUUUCCAUCAGGAUGGCAAUAAGUUUUCGCAGCAAGCGGAGGAGAAAGAUGAGGGCAGAGAAAAGAAAGAAAUCCGGUCUGGAUGA
rnacentral:lncRNA from 1 species